rnacentral:lncRNA from 1 species
CCUGGUAGAUGGAGGUUCCAGUGAGCCAGGAUCGUGCCACUACACUCCAGCCUGGGUGACAGGGCAAGACUCUUGUCUAAAAAAAAAAAAAAAAAAGGAUUUAAAUGUCACUUACUAAAGUUUUUCCUGGUUGUUCCCAGUUUCUUCCCCCUUUGUAUCUUCCCUGGUAAAUACAGUUUCUUCUAUGGUAUAUGGUUUUCUGGAAUUUAGCAGAUAUGAGAACCAUAGGCAUCAGUCUCAAAAUAUGGCAACUUAUUUGCUGGGGUUUACGUUUUUAGGUUUUUGGGUUUUGUUGUUGUUGUUGUUCUAUGGUCUUGCUUUGUUGCCCAGGCAAAUGUUGCAGUGGCUCUAUCAAGGCUCAGUGCAACCUGGACCUCCUGGGCUCAAGUGGUCCUCCCACCUCAGUCUCCCGAGUAGCUGGGACUACAGGCAAGAGCCACCAUGCCCAGUUUUGUAUUUUUUGUAGAAGCGGGUUUUCGCUAUGUUGCCCAGGCUGAUCUCAAACUCCUGAGCUCAAGCUAUCCACCUGCCUCAGCCCCCCAAAGUGCUGGGAUUACAGGCAUCAGCCACCGUGCCUGGCCUUUGCUGGGGUUUUGAAUUCUGAGAGCCAUUAGGUCUAUUGAAGCUCUACCACUCAUUCAGCUGCAUCAUCUACAAUACGGGACAAAAUCGACCUCAUGAAUUUCUUCAUGGACCCAGGAGGAUGUUGUUGCAAGUGUCUCCCAAACCACAUGGCAUGAACCCUCAGAACAGCUGUAGUAGUCUUCCCUUGUGCCCUCCGGCCCUUAACAGCCUCCUGCAGAGCUCUGUUAAAGCCAUGCCCUUGACUGGAACACAGGCCAGCAACCUUGCAUGGCCUUGCCCAAUGCACUGCCAUCUGCCUGCAUGUGGAAACUAUGCACCCUCCGCCUCCUCUUUCAUAUCAGAGUGUCACCUCUCAUAGUCCCUUUCUGACUAGUUUUCUGACAGCUCUGCCCUUACUCAAUCUAAGUGACUUUGAGCAAAUGACUUCAUCUCUCUUGAGGUUUUUUGACCAGUUUGUAAAAUGCUUUUCUUCAGGGCCUAGUGUGAGGAUUAAAAUGAGAUGAUGCAUGCAAAGUGUGCCUGGUGGACACUUAAUACAGCCACCUGGAGAAAAGUGACUGAUGACAUCAUGGACCCUCUAGCCCGACUGGCUUCAAAUCUUGGUUCUCUCUCUGGAACAAUUUUGAUAUGAAACAAGUUGCUUUGCUUCUUUGUGCCUGAGUUUCUUCAUCUGUAAAAUGGGGAUACUAAUUCAUAGGAUUAGAAUGAUGUUUAAGGGUGCGGCCAUUGUACCAUUGCUGAAUGUGCCUUGAACUCCCAAAUGUUUGAAAGGGAACACCAUAAUUUUCACUGUAUCAUGUAAAAGUGAUAUCAAAGCAAAGAUUAUAUAACAGCACUGAGGCUGGACAGUGGGGAAUGGAGGGGGACUCCUUGAGAUAAAUUACCACCUCCUUCACUUUUUUUCUGAGACGGAGUCUCACUAUGUUGUCCAGGCUGGCCUCAGACUCCUGGGUUCAAAUGAUCUUCCCACCUCAGUUUCCCUAGUAGCUGGGACUACAAGUGCAAACCACUGCACCCAGUCCUCCUUCACUUUUGAUUUGCUCAACACCUAGUGGCAUCCUGUGUUCUCAUCCUAUUCUUUCCUGCCUUGCCCAGGACCUCAUCUUGUGAUGACAAGAGGUACCCGGUCUCCUUGCCUCAGAUUCCUUCUCCCACCCUUUCUUCCUCACCACAGCCUGUAACUUCCUAUAGCACAGCUCUGGCUCCUGCCUAGGGGUUGCUUCAGGGAUACCUGAAGGUCUCUUUCUGCCCUUCCUACUUAGCCUUUUUCUUUUUUUAAAGCAGAGACAAUGUCUCACUAUGUUGCCCAGGCUGGUCUCAAACUCGUGGCCUCAAGUGAUCCUCCCACCUCCCAAAGUGCUGGAAUUACAGGCAUGAGCCACCACACCCAGUUUAGCUACUAUUAAUCCCUCCCUUAUGCCCCAUUUGUUCCACCACUGGAUUCUCUGCCAUCCCCUAAAAGGAGUCACCAUUUCCUACCCUCAGAGCUUUGCUUCAGUCUCUUCUGCUGCCUAAAAUUUUCUCCCUUCCAGUUUUAAUGUGUCAACAUCCUGGGCAUCCCACACUGCCUCUCCAUAGCCCUAUCCUCCUCCAAGGGAUUUCCUCUUAUGCCCCCACUCUUCAUUUCACACAUGCUUACUGAGGGCAUGCUCUGGUCCCAGAAGCUUUUUUGUUUCAGCCCCAUAGUAACUAGGCAAAUCUGCAAGCGCAUGUCUUUCAUGACGUGUUCUUUGUUGACCAUUUUCUUUCCCCUACUGGAUUGUAAGUACCUUUGAAGACAGGCUGUGCAUUAUACAGUGUGUGGAUUGUUCUAGGUGAACAAUAAAGCCUGCUAAACAGAAUUUUUGGUGACAUGUCCUUUCUAGGCCUGGCAACGACACCCAGGGCCUACUUCUUUCAAGGUGGUGAAGGCCUAUUAACAUAAGCCCAAGAUUCACAGGGCCUCAGCAUCCUUGACCUCUGCGCCUUUAUGGAGUGAGAGUUAAAUAGUAGCCCGGGACGGGUGGGUUAGUUACUGGUCAAAGUCAAUCCUCCAAGUCAACUUGGCCUGGACUAAAGUAACCAAACCCAUGCAGAAAACUUGCAAUUUAAAAAUUCAUCUUCCCUUUCUUCCUAGAAAGGACUGGGCAGAAAUGCAGGCUCCAGGGUGGGAGUGGGGCUGCGACGGGAGGAGGCAGCGAAGUUCAUUAGCCCCCUCAUUUGGGGCAAUAGGAAUCCGUGUGGUGACAAACAAUUGUCCUGGAGGAUUUAGGGGGAUUUGGCCAAGUGUCCCUGUGGGCCCCCAGCCUCCUCCUAAUCCCGUCCACAUUUCAGACUACUUAGGAUCGCAUUAAAUGUCAAAGCCGGCGUUUAGGGAAAUAUCUACAUUUCGUAUGCAUCGCUCGGAUGAAAAGAAAAGCUGAAACGAACCUCGGAGCUUUUGGC